rnacentral:rRNA from 1 species
UUUUGGGCUCCGCUGGCGGUUUCUUAACAUGCAAGUCGUGGGAGAAUUUUGGUGUUUGCACCAAAAGGAGACCGGCGAAUGGGUGAGUAACGCGUAGGCAAUCUGCCUGGGAGACGGGGAUAACCCACCGAAAGGUGAGCUAAUACCGGAUGAUGCAGCGGGGUCGCAUGACCCUGUUGUUAAAGGUUUCGGCCACUCCCAGAGGAGCCUGCGUGCCAUUAGCUAGUUGGUGCGGUAACGGCGCACCAAGGCGAUGAUGGCUAGGGGGUCUGAGAGGAUGAUCCCCCACACUGGGACUGAGACACGGCCCAGACUCCUACGGGAGGCAGCAGUGAGGAAUCUUGCGCAAUGGGGGCAACCCUGACGCAGCCACGCCGCGUGCCGGAAGACGGCCCUAUGGGUUGUAAACGGCUUUUAGGUGGGAAGAAUCUCCCGAAUUCGUUCGGGACUGACGGUCCGCCAGAAUAAGCACCGGCUAACUCCGUGCCAGCAGCCCGCGGUAAUACGGAGGGUGCAAGCGUUGUCGGAAUUAUUGGGUGUAAAGGUGCCCAGCCGAACCUACCUCGAGGGUGAAAGACUUCCGUUACGGUCCAGUGCUUUCAUUCCGGGUUUGUUGAUUCCGAAAGAGUUGGUGGAAUUCUGUGUACGGUAAAUCAUAAAUACCAAAGAACCGUGGCAAGCGGCAAUUGUCGG